rnacentral:tRNA from 1 species
AAGACUGUCCGGGAGAAGAAAAGGCUUCUAACUUUUUCUUAAGCGAUUAAAUUUCGUUUAUAGUCUUA